GAGUUUGAUCCUGGCUCAGAUUGAACGCUGGCGGCAGGCCUAACACAUGCAAGUCGAGCGGCAGCGACUUAACUGAACCUUCGGGGAACGUUAAGGGCGGCGAGCGGCGGACGGGUGAGUAAUGCCUGGGAAUAUGCCCUGAUGUGGGGGAUAACUAUUGGAAACGAUAGCUAAUACCGCAUAAUCUCUUCGGAGCAAAGAGGGGGACCUUCGGGCCUCUCGCGUCAGGAUUAGCCCAGGUGGGAUUAGCUUGUUGGUGAGGUAAUGGCUCACCAAGGCAACGAUCCCUAGCUGGUCUGAGAGGAUGAUCAGCCACACUGGAACUGAGACACGGUCCAGACUCCUACGGGAGGCAGCAGUGGGGAAUAUUGCACAAUGGGGGAAACCCUGAUGCAGCCAUGCCGCGUGUGUGAAGAAGGCCUUCGGGUUGUAAAGCACUUUCAGUAGGGAGGAAGGUAGUGUAGUUAACAGCUGCAUUAUUUGACGUUACCUACAGAAGAAGCACCGGCUAACUCCGUGCCAGCAGCCGCGGUAAUACGGAGGGUGCGAGCGUUAAUCGGAAUUACUGGGCGUAAAGCGCAUGCAGGCGGCCUGUUAAGUCAGAUGUGAAAGCCCGGGGCUUAACCUCGGAAUUGCAUUUGAAACUGGCAGGCUAGAGUCUUGUAGAGGGGGGUAGAAUUUCAGGUGUAGCGGUGAAAUGCGUAGAGAUCUGAAGGAAUACCAGUGGCGAAGGCAGCCCCCGGGACAAAGACAGAC
rnacentral:rRNA from 1 species